rnacentral:sRNA from 1 species
AUGUAUUUGCAUGCUGUGGUAUUAUUUGCUAACAUAGAGAGGAGUAUUGUGGUGGAGGAGAAUCAUUGUAAGAGCAAUGUUAAUACUGUCUCCAAGUCAGAUGGGCCGUUUAUUCAGAUUGACUCGAUAUCUAUAGAUCUUGUUAGUGCUAAGGAUAAGAGUGAUGCUGGAAAGUGUGAGCAAAUUUCUAUAAGUUAAGCUUUCUCCCUAAUCAUGUAAUAAUCUUUCAGAUUUGUGUGGUUGAGUUCCUCUUUUUUUGCAGGAAAACUUUUCACGUAUCACAAAAUUAUAAAUCUUAUUAAUGAUCAUAUAUGUCUUCUGUAUUGUUAUAAUUAAUAUUGUUAUUCUUAUACUUAAAACUUAAAACUGACUUAUUUUUUUGAGAAGAUUUCUCAGUUUGACUGUAGUAGUCUCUUCGGGUCGGUUUAGGACAGUGGUUUAUGCUUCUGGGGACUACUAUACCACUCUUGGGGUCCCCAAGUCUGCUAGUAGCAAAGAAAUCAAUUCAGCUUAUCGAAAGUUAGCCUGCCAGGUAGUAACUCAAUUCUAAUUUGGCUUUCUUCGUUUUCCAUUUUUCUUUAUAACAUAUUGUUUAUUAUUCAGUUUAUUAUGUUUGGUUGCCAAGAAGAAUAUGAAAUUACAGUUGGGUUUCUGAAUUAUCAUAGUAAAGAGUUUUAAUUUGAGUUUCUGGGUUUUUCUCUUUGUUCAUUAUUUAUUGUUUUCUCUGCAACCAAUCAGGACUUUUGUGUCUAUGUAAUGUGUUUCUUUAUCGAAAACCUUUGUGGGUUUUUGAUAAUUUUGUAAAUUGUAAAGCUAUAGAAUGUUUUUGCUUCAAGUUUUUAGGAGUUGCCUAGUAUAUUUUCUGUGUGCUGGAAUAUUCCUUUUUUUCCCGCUUAAUAAAAUGCUUAGUUACUUCUUUAAAAAAGAUAAUGCCAGUGAUUGAUUUUGGGGUAGUGGUGAUUUUCCUAUGUUGGCUGAGAAAUUUGGUCUCUGAUAUUUGUUUUGUACCAGAGACUUUCCUGUGCUCACAUGUAUCGAUCCAGUCUGCCAGCAAUAACAUAAAUGAUUUACUGUUCUUAUCCUUGACAAGUAGUUUAGUGUGGAAAGGUGAAUGCAUGUGCUAUGGACUGAUCUAUUUUGCAAAUUGCUUCCUUUUGUUAAUAAAUGUGUUAGCAAAUCAGAUAUGUGUUCUUUUGAUUCCUGUUGAGCAGAUUUAUUUGCUUAUCUUUAAUUUAAUUCUUUCUUUAACUUCUUUUCUUCUAGUUAUGAGCACAUAAAACAAUACAAUUGAUAAGAUUUCCUUGCAAUCCUGACUUUUGCCAUUCAUUUUUUUUUUCAUUUACCAUCCUGAUGUCAACAAGCAACCCCGAGCAACGGAAAAGUUUAAAGAGAUUAGUGUUGCAUAUGAGGUAUGAAUGAGAACCAAAAAAUUGGCACUUAUUUAUUUUUGAUUUCAUCUUUGCUAAAGCAAUAUAUUUGUUGCAUCUUUGAAGCUAGUGAUGAACUUUGCAGUUCCAAUCUAGGUGCUUUUUGAAAAAUGUUUUUGUAACAAUGCGUGUUUUUUUUUUUUUAGGGGGGGAAGUGUUUAGGGUUUCAGGUGUGUCACUCAUUAGGUGGUCGAACAGGGUCUGUAGUGUGGAUGCUUUUGAUUUUGAAGAUUAGGGAGGAGUGCACAUUCUGGCCUUUCUGAAUUAUAGUUAUGAUGAUAGACAACCUUUCUUUGGUUUGUUGAUAGUGUGAAAUAAACACAGCCUAAAAGAUCUAAUUGUUGGGAAAUUUACUAAAAUAGCCUGCAAGUUUUUCUAACUGUUUGUUUGAGCGGCCACUUUAAUGUUCGUUUUAAUUUCCAUGCAGGUAGAUGCUGCUUUUGUGCUCCUUGGAAACAUAAUUUUAUAUGUGAGUGCCAAAACGUGUAUCCUCUUAGACUGUGUUCUCACACUUUAUUUGCAUGGUGUGGCUUUCCAAUAAAAAAAACUAAUUUAGAAUGAUGAUGAAACGAUUCUGCUUUGUCAUUACUAAUUUCAGAAUGGCAACAUAAAACCCCUUUUCCCUGAUCUCGUCUUUAAUUAGCCUCCUUCCCAAAAAAAUUUAUCAUUUAUGUUUCCUGUACUUAUUAUUGAUACUGUCCUUGUUAAACUCUGAUUUUCUAAUCAUUACUAGACUUUUAUGAUUCUCUUAUUUUGAAGUUUCUUUUGUAGUUUUUAAUUCAUAUUAGUUUUGUUGUACUUGCUUUUUGUAGAGAACUAACCCUAGCUGAAAUUGAUAUAUUUAGCUGAAGUGGAGUAGCUUGCUGCUUGCUCUUCUUGCCUGCCAUAUGUCUUUGAAGAGAUAUUAUUAAUCAAAUUUAUGUUGCAUUCCUUCACAUUGUAGCAGGGGUGAUCAAUUUAAUGUAGAUUAAUUGAUAGGAUUAAAUUUCCAACCUGUCUGAAUUGGAGCAGCAAACUGGUGAGCCAAUUGACCAGGUGUCCCAUUUUUUAGUGCACUAGUGGCCUGAGACUGGAAAAUAGUAUACGUUGUCAGACAUAACUUUUCCAACACUCUCAUUAAAAAUUGUUUUACAUGCGUGUUUAAUGUUUUCCAUGUUGUGCCAGGAUAUGUGCUGGGUUUUAUUGCCUUGCCUCUUCACUUGGCUGACUUAAGCAGUCCUAAAAUCAUCAAGCCUUUGGCCGAUUCCAGUUAGGAUAUUAGCUACAACAAUGGGAGGGGUAUGCAACCCCAUGAGACUAUUUGAAAUUAUCUUAGAAUCACAUUCAAAAAACACAUUUUGUAUACAUCUCCCAAACAAAGGUAACUCCUUCCUCCGUGGCCUUUGCUUCGAUCUCCAAAGGUCCCUAUGUUGGGAAAAUCAGUUUACCAUUGAUGAUUGUAAUUUCCCUUGAUUUAGUCACCUGCGUGUGCUUCUUGUGUGCAGGGUGAUGUUCAUAAUUUCCUAUUCUUUAAUUUCCUGUUACAAAGUUUUGGUUUGUCCUGUGUCAUCGUGAUAAAAAGUUCUUCGAUAUCCCUAGAAGUUUCUUUUUGUGCCUUGUUGUGCAGUUUGGUAAUACAAUUUGAGUUUGUUAAUACAUCUUAUUUAUUGACAUGGGGUUUGUGCUUUAUCAUGAGGUGGGUUUCAGGUGUGUGUAAGAGAUAUUGUCCAUAAUCUUCCUUCUCUUUUACUGUCAUAAUUGUUAGAUAUUGAUUUUGUUUCUUUGUUCAUGUACUUGAUACAGUACAUACGGAGAGAGCGGAACAAUAGAGCAUUUGAAAGUUUAGAAUGGUGCACGGGGUUUAAGAUGCUUUUAUUGUAUUCUUUAUGUGAAUUGAUGAUUGCUUUAUCAUACCAUUCAAAUUCUAAUCUGUUCAAGUUUCUUGAUGAUUGUAAUUUUCCUUGAUUUGACUGCCUGCAUGUACUUCUUGUGUGCAGGUUGAUGUUCAUAUUUUCCUUUUCUUUAAUUUCUUGUUACAAAGUUUUGGUUUGUCCUGUGUCAUCAUGAUAAAAAGUUCCUUUAUAUCCCAGGAAGUUUGUUUUUGUGCCUUGAUGUGGAGUUUGGUAAUACGUCUUAUUUAUUGACAUGUAGUUUUUUCGUUAUCAUGAGGUGGACUUUUAGGUGUGUGUAAGAGAUAUUGUCUAUAAUCUUCUUUCUCUUUUACUGUUGAAAUUGCUAGAUAUUGAUUUUGUUUCUUUGUAUGGUCACUGUAGUUGAGGACAUCGAAUUCUCUGAUAUAGCAUAUGUUAUUGUUGAACUGAAUCUUUUGAGUGCUUCAAAUGCCCUUUAAAGAAGGUAAUGUAAUUCUUUCAUUCCUUUGGUUUGUUUCUAGCAACUCCAAUAUGUAAAUGUCAUUAACACCUUCAGCACUCUCAAUAGUGUAUCAGGAUUAAUACGCUUUUGUAUAAUAGUGAGCUUAUCUACUGAUGUUGCAAAGUUGUUUUUAUAAAAACUUUUGUCAGCCAAGUAUUGCAAUUCUUUUCCUUUUUGUUUUUGCUGUGAGAUUGAGAAAAUAUUGCAAGUUUACAGCAUGGUGUCUUGGAAAAGUUAAAAGUAAUAUCCUGCCCUUUAAUCUUGAUGACAAUCCUAUGCUGUGACUUCUUGAUUGAUGUAGGGAGAUUGUUAUCUUAGAGGUAAUGUUGCAGGUGUUCCAACUCUUGGCUUAAUGGGUUUGACUGAUUCCUGCUAGGUAUUGAAAUUCAUAGUUAUUAUAGUUGAUUUGUGUGUAGCUGAAAGUCUUAUUUGUUGCUUUUUUUAUUUUAUUUUUGUGAUAAACUUAUCCAUUGCUUUUUUGACAUUUUUUUUUGAGUUGAAUUUGAUCUUGGGCAUCAUUUUUCUGUGUACUAAUUGGUUUUUACAAUGUCAACUAAAAAUAAAUAAAAAAAAUCAUCUAACCUAGCAUGAAUGAAGGGGCACAAUCUGGAUACAAUUGAUAGUCAUAAAAGCUUCACUAAUUUUGGCCACCCUGAAUACAGUAUGUCUGGAAAUAUGUGGAGAAUUUUUGGCUACAUAGAACACUUCUUUCACUUUUUAGUUUAACACUUCUUCAUUUUGUGGUAUCUGCUGUAGAGAAGUUGAUUGUAUUGGUUUGGGAACAUAAAUAAACUUUGUAAUAUAUACAUGCAUCUUGCAAUUUGUAGCGUCUAAGUUUUGUUACAUUGGUUGCAAUUAAUGUCAUUUGACCCUGCCAUACUUUUUGCCGAUAAGCUUUGUGUUUGCAAGAAUUGUCAAGGCCACAAAAUUAUCUUGUGGUCUCUACAGUAAUAAAUGUGAUUUGAGGCUAAACUUUUAGUUUUUUCUUUCAUUGGGCUGGUGUGUGUAUUUGAGGUUUCAUUCGUCAUGCUUUAUUAAACUCCUGCAUUGCUAUGCUUGUUUGUCUUGAUUCCUUUGUCUAUUUGCCUUUGAUUUGCCCUUAUGUCAAUUGUUAAAAACUUAAGCUCAUCAAUUUGUCACCCUUUUUUUUUUUUUUUUUUUUUUUUUUUUUUUUUGAGUUUUGUUCAAAUUAUGAUUCAUUGUUAUACAUUAAUUGUGUUGGAUAUAUAGAUGCGUGCUUUAUGUGCUUCCUUUUGUGUUCAAAAUAUAAAAUUUCAAGGUUGUUACUUAACAUCGGCUAUCCCAAUGUUUAAUUAUUUUUUUUGAUAGGUUUGUCUACUUAGGAAACAAAGUUUGAUGGGGACUUAAGGAAAUAGUUUCUCUUUAUCUCGUAAUUUCAAUAUUCUUUUUCUAAAGUUAAAAGGUUUUAAUUAUUGGAUUAAGAUAAUUAUGAGUUAGAAAAACAACUUGUUAGAGUGACCUUGAAUUGAGAUCAGGAUUCUCUUUAGUUUUGCAACAAUCUCAUAUUAUGUUUGUUUUUGUUGAUGUUUUCUUGGUUUUGGUUGAGCCUGGUUAUACUGUGUUGGUGGUGCCUCUUUUAAGUCCAGUUUGGAUUGUCACUUAAUGUCUAUCUAUAGGAAGCAAGAUUUUUGUGGUGCUUCUCUGUGGACCUUGAUUCGGCAAUGAGCCCUCUUUCCCUACCUUGUUUGCUUUUCUUUCCUAAAAGUUGUUUUAAUUAUUUCUGAUACUUGGCUCUCUUGUUACUUUUCCUAGGUUUUGUUUCCAUUUUUUGGGUGGAUUAUGAACUCCAGUCUCAGUGAGCGUGCGUUUGAAAUUUCUCUUGCAAUUCUUAUGAUUUUGUGUGUCAUGUUUAAUCUUUGUUCAUUCUGUGAUGGCAACCUUAAUAUCAAUUUCAACAGCUAAUCCAAUAAUGCCUCUUAUAGGUGUGGGGUAGUAACAUAAUAGUGUGACCUGAAUAUGAUUGUAAAAGGAAAUCGAGAUAGUGCUUUCUCUUCUACCGGCAUGAGUUGGGCUUUUUGGGAAUUAUAUGGAUUUAACUUAUGUUUUGGAUUUGCUUCAUAAUUUGUUAACUUGGAUUUUUGCUAAUUAAUUUCCUUGUUUCCAACUUCCAACUACUGGGAAGCAGAGAAGAGCUUGGUUUUCAGUGUUAAUUGGAUUUACCUCUAUAGUUGUUGGGUAAUAUGUGAGUUUUUCUAUUUGUUGUUUUGCAACUCUUGCCAUUCUUAGUGCAUGUUAUAAAUAUCAUAUUGAGUCACUGCUUACUGUUAUUUAUCAUAAUCUUUUUAGAAUUUUGCUUUAGAUUACCUAAGUUUUGAUUGUGCUUCUCCCUUAAUUACUUAUUUCUGAUUUACUUUAGCUUUAACAAUUGUUUGUUGGGGUUUUUGAUUUUUUCUUUUGCUUUAUUAAUUUAUAUUUUGUUAAAUGAUGCUUGUGUAUUUAUUUUUGGGCAAGGAUUUUCUGCAAACUAAGUUGCAGCAACUCCUGCAAAAUGCAAACGUGUCAAGUGGCCAUUUGGUGAAAAAUUCAAUUUUGACAUGGAAGUUUCAUUUAAAUAUAAGCCUAGACAGGUGUCUAUUUGAGGCAUUGACGCGUGUGUAGCAAAUCCUUCCCUUUAUUUUUUAUUUUGUAUAAUCUAUUUAAUUCUAGGAGUGAUACGUUUGCAUCCUUUUAUGUUUGCAUUCUUUUAUGUAAGGUUGAUUUGAUUUUGUUGCUCUCUUUCUUAUAUUCUUCUAAGUAGAAUUUUUUAUUUUAUUUUAUUUUUUAUAUUCUUGGAAGCAUUUUUUAAUCUGAGUUCUAGUUGGUAAUAUCACAGGUUUAAACAUCUUUCUGUCUAAAUAUGUGAAUUAUCUCUAAUUUUCUAGCAUGUUGUGGCUGCUUUGUUUCAAAGCUGUCUCAAUGUUUUCAAUAUUCAAAUUGCCUAAAAUUUUGGCUGCCAAUUAUUAUGUGCUUUUAUUUGAUCUUAGGUUCAAAAGAUAUAGUCUCUCACAUUAAAUAUUGGAGUCGUUUACAGGUUUGUCUUCUGUGUGUUUAUUUGUAAUUUUGAAUGUUCUCUAAGGUAUUCAUGUUCCAAGAUAUGUUCUUUGGCGGUUGCCAUCUUUCAAUGUCUCUCUUAUAGAAUAAUAUUCUAAUUGCAUGAUUUCCAUAUGUAAUCAGUCUUUAAAGAAAUGGUUGCAAUGUGUAUGGUGAGAGAUCAAGCAAAGAGGUGGAACUUAUUGAAACACAUCUUUUUCAAGCAUGCAAAGUCUCUUGAGAUUUCUGUGAGGAAAUGAUUUGCUGAAUUACCACUCCUUGGAAUCGUGUAAAAGCCCUCCAGGUUACCCAUUGUAUUGCUGAGAUGCACCUUCCGUACUUUCACUUGUCUUGGUAAGCUUGUCUCAUGGCUAUGGUUAAUUUUGCAGCAUAAAGAUCAAGUGCUACUCUCUAAAGAACAAGAGGUAAUAUCACAGCUCUUAUACAUUUGUUCACACCGUUAACUUUGAACUUAAAUUGCAUGUAGUGAUAUUUCUUUGAACUUUGAUUUCGAAGAUUAGGGAGGAGUACACGUUUUGGCCUUACUGAAUUAUAGUUGUGAUGAUAGACAAGCUUUCUUUGGUUUGUUGAUAGUAUAAAAUAUACACAGCCUAAAAGAUCUAAUUGUUGGGAAAUUUACUAAAAUGGCUUGCAAGUUUUUUCUAACUGUUUGUUUGAGCUGCCACUUUAAUGUUCAUUUUAAUUUCCAUGCAGGUAGAUGCUGCUGUGGUGCUCCUUGGAAACAUAAUUUUAUAUGUGAGUGCCAGAACGUGUAUCCUCUUAGACUGUGUUCUCACACUUUAUUUGCAUGGUGUGGCUUUCCAAUAAAAAAAAAAAAAAAAUUAGAAUGAUGAUGAAACACUUCUGCUUUGUCCUUACUAAUUUCAAAAUGGCAACAUAAAACCCCUUUUCCUUGAUCUUGUCUUUAAUUAGCCUCCUUCCCAUAAAAAUUUAUCAUUUAUGUUUCCUCUACUUAUUAUUGAUACUGUAUUCGUUAAGCUUUGAUUUUCUAAUCAUUCCUAGACUUUUUUGUUUCUCUUAUUUUGAAGUUUCUUUUGUAGUUUUUAAUUCAUAUUAGUUUUGCUGUACUUCCGUUUUGUAGAGAACUUACCCUGCUGAAAUUGAUGUAUUUAGCUGAAGUGGAGUAGCUUGCUGCUUGCCUGCCAUAUGUCUUUGAAGAGAUAUUAUUAAUCAAAUUUAUGUUGCAUUCCUUCACAUUAUAGUAGGGGUGAUCAAUUUAAUGUAGAUUAAUUGAAAGGAUUAAAUUUCCAACCUGUCUGAAUUGGAGCAGCAAACUAGUGAGCCAAUUGAUCAGGUGUCCCUUUUUUUACUGCGCUGGUGGCCUUAAGACUGGAAAAUAGUAUACGUUGUCAGACAUAACUUUUCAAACACUCUCAUUAAAAAUUGUUUUACUUGCGUGUUUAAUGUUUUCCAUGUUGUACCAGGAUAUGUGCUGGGGUUUAUUACCUUGCCUUUUCACGUGGCCAACUUAAGCAGUCCUAAAAUCAUCAAGCCUUUGGCCGAUUCCAGUUAGGAUGUUAGCUACAACAACGGGAGUGGUACACAACCCCAUGAGACUCUCUGAAAUUAUCUUUGAAUCACAUUCAAAAAACACAUUUUGUAUACAUCUCCCAAGCAAAGAGAACUCCUUCCUCCAUGGCCUUUGCUUCGAUCUCCAAAGGUCCCAGUGUUUGUAAAAUCAGUUUACCAUUGAUGAUUGUAAUUUCCCUUGAUUUGACCACUUGUGUGUACUUCUUGUGUGCAGGGUGAUGUUCAUAUUUUCCUGUUCUUUAAUUUCCUAUUACAAAGUUUUGGUUUGUCCUGCAUCAUCAUGAUAAAAAGUUCCCCGAUAUCCUUUGAAGUUUCUUUUUGUGCCCUCAGCCCUGUUGUGGAGUUCGGUAAUGCAAUUUGAGUUUGCUAAUACAUCUUAUUUAUUGACAUGGGGUUUUUGCUUUAUCAUGAGGUGGGCUUUCAGGUGUGUGUAAGGGAUAUUGUUCAUAAUCUUCCUUCUCUUUUUACUGUUGAAAUUGUUAGAUAUUGAUUUUGUUUCUUCGUACAUGUAAUUGAAACAGUGUUAAAUGUGUUGAUCUCUGUAGUUGAGGACAUCGAAUGCUUCGAUAUAGCUGAUGUUAUUGUUGAAAUUAAUCUUCCGAGUGCUUCAAAUGCCCUUUAAAGAAGGUAAUGUAAAUCUUUCAUUCCUUUGGUUUGUUUCUAGCAACUCCAAUAUGUAAAUGUCAUUAACACCUUCAACACUUUCAAUAGUAUAUCAGGAUUAAUAUGCUUUUGUAUAAUAGUUAGCUUAUCUACUGAUGUUGCAAAGUUGUUUUUAUAAAAACUUUUGUUAAUCAAGUAUUGCAAUUCUUUUCCUUUUUGUUUUUGGUGUGAGAUUGAGAAAAUAUUGCGGGUUUACUGCUUGGCGUCUUGGAAAAGUUAAAAUUAAUAUCCAUUCCUUUAACCUUGAUGCCAAUCCUAUGUUGUGACUUCUUGAUCAAUGUAGGGAGAUUGUUAUCUUAGAGGUAAUGUUGCAUGUGUACCAACUCUUGGCUUAAUGGGUUUGGCUGAUUCCUGCUAGGUAUUGAAAUUCGAAGUUAUUAUGGUUGAUUUGUGUGUGGGUGGAAGUCUUAUAGUUUUUUUUUUUUUUUUUGGUGAUAAACUUAUCCUUUGCUUUUUUGACAUUUUUAUUGAGUUUUAUUUGAUCUUGGGCAUCAUUUUUUUUCUGUGGACUAAUUGGUUUUUACAAUGUCAACUAAAAAUAAAUAAAAAAAUCAGCUAACCUAGCAUGAAUGAAGGUGCACAAUCUGGAUACAAUUGAUAGUCAUAGAAGCUUCACUAAUUCAUGAAUACAUUAUGUUUGGAACUAUAUGGAGAAUUUUUGGCUACAUAGAACAUAUGUAGAUGAUGAUUAAUGCUGAAAAAUGCUGGAUAAUGUUUUGGAAGGGGGUAACUUCAUGAUGCCGUACAUUGGUGUAAGAUAUUCGCUUCGUGGAGAAGCCAUGUAUGGAGACAAGACAUCAUGCAUUGCUGCCAGAAUGGGUAUUACAUGGAGCCAAACCUAGAGAAAGUAAAUUUUCUUUUGUGGUCGUGAGUUGCCUUUUGAAUGCAAUUUUUCCAGUGCAAGGGCUAGUUGUUUAGUUUGUAAAGAGGAAAUUGAGCUAGGAAUACCUGAGCCACUGGGCUUAGGACUGGCUUGCUUGGGCUGGUUGGUUUAGGUGAAAAGCCCAUGACAAGUGCUAUAGAGAAGUUCAUGCCAGGCCUCAAUUUGCUUUGGGCAAGAAAGGGUCAUGUUGAGCAUAGCUUUGGUUAAGCACUUUCACAUUCAAUCUUGUCGAUCUAGUCCAAGAGGCAGUUACGUUAAGUAUCCAAUUACUAGAAGAGAGGCAAUUACUAUCCUUCUGCUCUAUGAGUAGUCUGGUUGACAGGUAUUCCUUUGGCAAGGUGUAGACAUUUUUGGAAAGACAUGCUAAACUCCUUGUUACAUAUUUCACUGUCACAUACGCUGGCAUGAACAAAAAAUGACCAUCAUUAUUUAAUUCAAAUUAUUAAAUUUGGUUUUAAUAGUCAUAUAAACAAUCUAGAGUAUUUUUUGGUAAGCAUAUCACCUAAUUUUGCCGAUGUGCUCUAGCUCAAGUAGCACGUCUUCUCCCUCAAUUCGUGGGACAUAGGAUGAGAUUGUGGAUUCAAAACUCACAUGGCGUGGCUUUCCAAUAAAAAAACUAAUUUCAGAAUGAUGAUGAAACGCUUCUACUUUGUCAUUACUAAUUUCAAAAUGGCAACAUAAAACCCAUUUUUUUGUAUAACAAGUUGUUAUAACUAUUCACUGGCUUUUGAAUUGGUGGGUUUGCGGACAUUGACUCAACCUUUCUCAUUGUGUGGGGAUUUAUAAGAACGAAACCCUAAUGUGUUCUUUGUUAUUUAUAUGGGUAUUAAUUUAUGGUUUACUUUGAACCUUUUGUUGAUUGGUUGGAUUGUUUGAGAAUGGAAUUAGAGGCAGCAAACGUCUUUAUGUUUGUUAUUUUAUGGAAAACUAGGGUUUUAAAUUUGUUAACCAAAUACUUUAUGUAAGAGUUUUUUUUUUAUUUUUUAUUUUUAUUUUUUAUUUUUACCAUCUCACUCAUUCUAUAUCAAUUUUGACAACUAAUUUUUUGUCUUCCCUUUUGAUCUCUUUGUGGGUGUGCUAAACCCUAACAUGUUUCUUUGGUACUUUGCUUAAGAGAUUGUGAGUGACUAUGGAAUUUUAAAUUGUAUUCAGGUCUAUUACUUUUAUUACCGCUUAAUUUUAAUUUCAGCAUAUGGUAAUUAUGUCACUGAGUUACUUUUUUCUUUUGGGGUGGGGGAGGGGGUGUUUUGGGGGGGGGGGGUGUGUGCAUGAAAUUGUGUAUUUGCAUGCUGUGGUAUUAUUUUCUGACAUGGGGCGGAUUAUUGUGAUGGAGGAGAAUCAUUGCAAGAGCAAUGUUAACUGUUUCCCAGUCAGAUGGGCUGGUUAUUUAGAUCGACUCUAUAUCUAUAGAUCUUGUUAGUGCUAAGGAUAAGAGUGAUGCUGGAAAGUGUGAGUAUUUUUCUAUAAGUUAAGCCUUCCCUAAUCAUGUAAUAAUCUUUCAGAUUUGUGUGGUUGAGUUCCUUUUUUUUUGCAAGAAAACUUUUUACGUAUUGCAAAAUUGUAAAUCCUAUUAAUGAUCAUAUAUGUCUUCUUAAAUGCUCUAAUUAAUAUUGUUAUACUCAUACUUAAAACUGACUUAUUUUUUUGAGAAAAUUUUGCAGUUUGACUGUAGUAGAGUCUCUUUGGGUGGGAUUAGGACAGUGGUUCAUGCUUCUGGGAACUACUAUACCACUCAUGGGGUCCCCAAGUCUGCUAGUAGCAAAGUAAUCAAAGCAGCUUAUCAAAAGUUAGCCCGCCUGCCAGUUAGUAACUCAAUUCUAAUUCGGCUUUCUUCGUUUUCCAUUUUUCUUUAUAACAUAUUGUUUAUUUUUCUGUUUAUUAUGUUUGGUUGCCAAGAAGAAUAUGAAAUUAGAGUUGUGUUUCUGAAUUAUCAUAGUAAAGAAUUUUAAUUUGAGUUUCUGGGUUCUUUUCUUUGUUCAUUAUUUAUCGUUUUCUCUGCAACCAAACUGGACUUAUAGACUUUUGUGUCUAUGUAAUGUGUUUCUUUAUGGAAAACCUUUGUGGGUUUUUGAUAAUUUUGUAAAUUGUAAAGCUAUAGAAUGUUUUUGCUUCAAGUUUUUAGGUGUUGCCUAGUAUAUUUCCUGUGUACUGGAAUAUUCCUUUUUUUUUUUCCCUCUUAAUAAAAUGCUUAGUUCUUAAAAAAGAUAAUGACAGUGAUUGAUUUUGGGGUAGUUGGUGAUUUUCCUAUGUUGGCUAAGAAAUUUGGUUUCUGAUAUUUGUUUUGUACCAGAGACUUUCCUGUGCUCACAUGUAUUGAUCCAGUCUGCCAGCAAUAACAUAAAUGAUAUUCUGUUCUUAUCCUUGAUAAGUAGUUUAGUGUGUGGAAAGGUGAAUGCCUCUGUUGUAUGUGAUAUGGACUGAUCUAAUUUGCAAAUUGCUUCCUUUUGUUGAUAAAUGUGUUAGCAAAUCAGAUAUGUGUUCUUUUGAUUCCUGUUGAGCAGAUUUAUUUGCUUAUCUUCAAUUUAAUUCUUUCUUUUACUUCUUUUCUUCUAGUUAUGAGCACUUAAAACGAUACAUUUGAUAAGAUUUCCUUGCAAUCCUGACUUUUACCAUUCAUUUUUUUUUUCAUGUACCACCUUGAUGUCAACAAGCAAGCUGGAGCAAUGGAAAAGUUUAAAGAGAUUAGUGCUGCAUAUGAGGUAUGAAUGAGAACAAAAAAAUUGACCCUUAUUUAUUUUUGAUUUCAUCUUUACUAAAGCAAUAUAUUUGUUGCAUCUUUGAAGCUAGUGAUGAACUUUGCAGUUCCAAUCUAG